UUAUAAUCACAGGGGAGCUAGUGUUGCUAGCUGAGAGUAAGGACUAAAUUCUUAGACCCUUUAACCUGAUCUGGAUAAUGCCAGCGUAGGAAGAUGGUUUUAUGAUUUUU
rnacentral:ncRNA from 2 species